UACGAAGGGGGCUAGCGUUGUUCGGAAUCACUGGGCGUAAAGCGCAUGCAGGCGGGUCGUUAAGGUAGGGGUGAAAUCCCGAGGCUCAACCUCGGAACUGCCUCUGAUACUGGCGACCUUGAGUCCGGGAGAGGUGAGUGGAACUGCGAGUGUAGAGGUGAAAUUCGUAGAUAUUCGCAAGAACACCAGUGGCGAAGGCGGCUCACUGGACCGGGAUUGACGCUGAGGUACGAAAGCGUGGGGAGCAAACAGG
rnacentral:rRNA from 1 species